rnacentral:rRNA from 1 species
AGGACGAACGCUGGCGGCGUGCUUAACACAUGCAAGUCGAACGGAAAGGCCCUUUCGGGGGUACUCGAGUGGCGAACGGGUGAGUAACACGUGGGUGAUCUGCCCUGCACUCUGGGAUAAGCUUGGGAAACUGGGUCUAAUACCGGAUAGGACCAUGGGAUGCAUGUUCUGUGGUGGAAAGCUUUUGCGGUGUGGGAUGGGCCCGCGGCCUAUCAGCUUGUUGGUGGGGUGAUGGCCUACCAAGGCGACGACGGGUAGCCGGCCUGAGAGGGUGUCCGGCCACACUGGGACUGAGAUACGGCCCAGACUCCUACGGGAGGCAGCAGUGGGGAAUAUUGCACAAUGGGCGCAAGCCUGAUGCAGCGACGCCGCGUGGGGGAUGACGGCCUUCGGGUUGUAAAC